rnacentral:rRNA from 1 species
GUCCACGCUGUAAACGAUGAAUACUAGGUGUGCGGGGACUGACCCCCUGCGUGCCGCAGCUAACGCAAUAAGUAUUCCACCUGGGGAGUACGAUCGCAAGGUUGAAACUCAAAGGAAUUGACGGGGGCCCGCACAAGCGGUGGAUUAUGUGGUUUAAUUCGAAGCAACGCGAAGAACCUUACCAGGGCUUGACAUCCUACUAACGAGAUAGAGAUAUGUUAGGUGCCCUUCGGGGAAAGUAGAGACAGGUGGUGCAUGGUUGUCGU